rnacentral:rRNA from 1 species
AUUGAACGCUGGCGGCAUGCUUUACACAUGCAAGUCGAACGGUAACAGGCCGCAAGGUGCUGACGAGUGGCGAACGGGUGAGUAAUGCAUCGGAACGUGCACAGUCGUGGGGGAUAACUACUCGAAAGAGUAGCUAAUACCGCAUACGAUCUAUGGAUGAAAGCGGGGGACCGUAAGGCCUCGCGCGAUUGGAGCGGCCGAUGUCAGAUUAGGUAGUUGGUGGGGUAAAGGCUCACCAAGCCAACGAUCUGUAGCUGGUCUGAGAGGACGACCAGCCACACUGGGACUGAGACACGGCCCAGACUCCUACGGGAGGCAGCAGUGGGGAAUUUAGGACAAUGGGCGCAAGCCUGAUCCAGCAAUGCCGCGUGCAGGAAGAAGGCCUUCGGGUUGUAAACUGCUUUUGUACGGAACGAAACGGCUCUGGUUAAUACCCGGGGCUAAUGACGGUACCGUAAGAAUAAGCACCGGCUAACUACGUG